UACUCAGAAGCUAUGCAACAGCAGUGGAUUUUUAACCCGCCCAGAGAUUUUACUAAUCCUGAGU
rnacentral:tRNA from 1 species